rnacentral:rRNA from 1 species
GAUGAACGCUGACAGAAUGCUUAACACAUGCAAGUCUUUGGCGAAGCUGUGCUUGCACAGCCUAGCCAAGGCGGACGGGUGAGUAACGCGUCAGGAACUUGCCCUGCAGUCAGGGAUAACAGACGGAAACGACUGAUAAGACCUGGUAAAGUCAGGCGGACUCAUGUCCAGCCUGAUGAAAAGAGAUGCUGCAGGAGAGCCUUGCGUCCUAUUAGCUUGUUGGUGGGGUAACGGCCCACCAAGGCGAUGAUAGGUAGCCGGCCUGAGAGGGUGGACGGCCACAAGGGGACUGAGAUACGGCCCUUACUCCUACGGGAGGCAGCAGUGGGGAAUAUUGGACAAUGGGGGCAACCCUGAUCCAGCAAUUCUGUGUGCACGAUGAAGGUUUUCGGAUUGUAAAGUGCUUUCAGCAGGGAAGAAAAAAAUGACGGUACCUGCAGAAGAAGCGACGGCUAAAUACGUG